rnacentral:rRNA from 1 species
AUUGAACGCUGGCGGCAGGCCUAACACAUGCAAGUCGAGCGGCAGCACGGGUACUUGUACCUGGUGGCGAGCGGCGGACGGGUGAGUAAUGCCUAGGAAUCUGCCUGGUAGUGGGGGGUAACGCUCGGAAACGGACGCUAAUACCGCAUACGUCCUACGGGAGAAAGCAGGGGACCUUCGGGCCUUGCGCUAUCAGAUGAGCCUAGGUCGGAUUAGCUAGUUGGUGAGGUAAUGGCUCACCAAGGCGACGAUCCGUAACUGGUCUGAGAGGAUGAUCAGUCACACUGGAACUGGGACACGGUCCAGACUCCUACGGGAGGCAGCAGUGGGGAAUAUUGGACAAUGGGCGAAAGCCUGAUCCAGCCAUGCCGCGUGUGUGAAGAAGGUCUUCGGAUUGUAAAGCACUUUAAGUUGGGAGGAAGGGCAGUUACCUAAUACGUAUCUGUUUGACGUACCGA